rnacentral:rRNA from 1 species
CCUACGUGAGGCAGCAGUGGGGAAUAUUGCGAAAUGGGCGAAAGCCUGACGCAGCGACGCCGCGUGAGGGAUGAAGGUCUUCGGAUCGUAAACCUCUGUCAGCAGGGAAGAACGGUCACUGUGCUAAUCAGCAGUGAAUUGACGGUACCUGCAAAGGAAGCACCGGCUAACUCCGUGCCAGCAGCCGCGGUAAUACGGAGGGUGCGAGCGUUAAUCGGAAUUACUGGGCGUAAAGCGCUCGUAGGCGGUAUGUCAAGUAAAGGGUGAAAUCCCCGCGCUCAACGUGGGAACUGCCUUUGAAACUGGCAAACUGGAGUGUGUGAGAGGGUAGUGGAAUUCCCGGUGUAGGAGUGAAAUCCGUAGAUAUCUGGAGGAACAUCAGUGGCGAAGGCGACUAUCUGGCACAUAACUGACGCUGAGGAGCGAAAGCGUGGGUAGCAAACAGGAUUAGAUACCCCUGUAGUC